rfam:Candidatus Levybacteria bacterium RIFCSPHIGHO2_01_FTLL_42_15 rifcsphigho2_01_scaffold_4484, whole genome shotgun sequence.
GGGCCUAUAGGUAAGUGGCAUACCGAUACAUUCGCAUUGUAUAGUCGCCAGUUCGAUUCUGGCUAGGUCCA